GUGUGUGUGUGUGUAUACAAUUGGAAUGAUACAGAGAGGAUUAGUAUGCCCCCUGCACACAAAUUCAUGAAGUAUUCCAUAUUUUA
rnacentral:snRNA from 1 species